GGGGUGGUGGCGCAGUUGGCUAGCGCGUAGGUCUCAUAAUCCUGAGGUCGAGAGUUCGAGCCUCUCUCACCCUA
rnacentral:tRNA from 1 species